AUCCAGCUGACCAGUUCCAUAUAGGACGAAACUUACAUCCUGGAU
rnacentral:hammerhead_ribozyme from 1 species